CGGCAGCUCGGUUAGCUCAUCCCUCGGGCUCUGAAAUGAUGGCAGAGGGCUGCACUGAAACGGCGAUCAGCCGACCCCGGGCUGAGCUCCGAGAGCCAGGCGGUGCAGACACGACAGAAGCGUCCCAACACCGCCCAGCUAGGACUGCCAGCCUACUGGGUUCGGAGCGGUUUUCCCCCCAGGCUAUCUCCUGUUGGAAGGAACGCGCGCAAAGUUCAGCCCGGUGAUAACGCUGUUCCUGAUUGCCUGCGCUGACACUACUUGAGGAAAUGCACCCCCCUCAGUCCAUUCCCCUUCAUACAAGACCCCCCAGAAAAGCAGAGAAAUCCACCAAGUAAGCAACACCCUCAUGAAGAUACGUAAGUCAGCCCUUCAUGCCUUAUCUCUCCCUCCCCCAUUUUAUUUUUUCUCCGUCCCCCAUUUUAGACAACCAAUGUUCCAAUUGCCUGUUCCAAUUCUCGGUUAUACCUUUACUCAAGAUAUGCAACCUGACUCGUCCAUUUGAUGUGAUAUCUGUUCAUUGUUGGACACUCUGGGCUAUGAAGUGUGUUCUUCGGUCUGAAGAAAUGGGACUUGGUGGUCCAAACUGGUGCAAUAGCUUCUGGUCCAGUCUUUUUAUAGUAUGUUGAACAUUUGCAUCUACCUCUAGGCAUGGAAAACCCGGUCCAGAGUGUGUCUAUUCCUACCAAAACCCAUUUGUAACCUUCCAGGGCUCCCAGCAUCAGUCCAGCCGCCAGCUCUGCAUCGGGCCUUUCCCCCAGGGAAUCUGCCCCACAGCCAUCUGUAGCCUCCAUCAUUUUUGCUGGCCCACAACAAAGUUCUUCUUGGCAUUUUGUGCUCCAGAGGGUUUGAGAGGGCGAUGUCUAGAUUUGUCCCAUCUCUGCACUGCUGAACCCCCCAUAUCCACUCAUUCCGUGGGCCCAGGGGGCUACCUCAAGUGAGCACACCAGGAUAUCCACUUGCUGGUUCCAGUCCCCUCCCAGUCCUACAAGGAGGUUUUUCUGAUGGACAGUGACAUGCCCCACUUUAAUGUACCCCUGAAUGCCCAUAGUCAUUUCCACAGGGCAGUGCCCCCCAACAGACUUCCCUUUAAUAGGCAAAUUUUCCAUUGUUCUUCUACUUAACCACAUGGUCAAGACAUUAGCUGUUGCCCAUGAGUUGGUUCA